rnacentral:rRNA from 1 species
GAUGAACGCUGGCGGCGUGCCUAAUACAUGCAAGUCGAGCGAACAGACGAGGAGCUUGCUCCUCUGACGUUAGCGGCGGACGGGUGAGUAACACGUGGAUAACCUACCUAUAAGACUGGGAUAACUUCGGGAAACCGGAGCUAAUACCGGAUAAUAUAUUGAACCGCAUGGUUCAAUAGUGAAAGACGGUUUUGCUGUCACUUAUAGAUGGAUCCGCGCCGCAUUAGCUAGUUGGUGAGGUAACGGCUUACCAAGGCAACGAUGCGUAGCCGACCUGAGAGGGUGAUCGGCCACACUGGAACUGAGACACGGUCCAGACUCCUACGGGAGGCAGCAGUAGGGAAUCUUCCGCAAUGGGCGAAAGCCUGACGGAGCAACGCCGCGUGAGUGAUGAAGGUCUUUGGAUCGUAAAACUCUGUUAUUAGGGAAGAACAAAUGUGUAAGUAACUAUGCACGUCUUGACGGUACCUAAUCAGAAAGCCACGGCUAACUACGUG